AGGCUUGUAUCAAAGCUAACAGAGAUCCUGUAACAAAAUCCUGGGUUUGGAUUAUAACACGGUGAAAGAAGACACAUCCACAGUAAAUAUUCUUGAUAAAAUUACCAAGAUGAAGAUCCUGAGAGUGAGAUAAAGAUGAAGGUUGGCAUGCUGCUUAAGCAACUGGAUCUGUACCUACUGAAUCAUUCUCUAAAACGUAUUUCAUUACAAAUCUGUUUAAACCCAACAACUGUUAAGAACCAUAUAGAACUGCUGAAACAUUUCUCAGGAAAAGGAGAACAAACUGUCUUGGAAUCUAUUGACUAUACUUCAGAUUAUGAAUUUUCAAAUGGAUGUCGAGCCCCACCUUGGAGACAAAUUCAUGGGAGAAAUUUGUUACGUGCUGGUAAAACCCCAUGAUUGUUGAAACUCUGUGUGUUACUUGUAGUACAGAAAGGA